AGAAAAGCAGUGCUUUGUUGCCUUUUGUGAACUAGGCCCUCGUAGACGUCAGGGAAAUUAUUUUCAUUGUUAUUGGGUGAACCUCUGUUAUUUGCUUUGACUGUUGGUUCAGUAAAUGAUGAAACAAUA